GACGAACGCUGGCGGCGUGCCUAACACAUGCAAGUCGAACGGGGCAGCAAUGCCCAGUGGCGAACGGGUGCGUAACACGUGAGGAACUUGUCCAUCGGCGGGGGAUAGCCGGCCCAACGGCCGGGUAAUACCGCGUACGUCGGCGAGACCGCAUGGUCUUGCCGGGAAAGCAGCAAUGCACCGAUGGAGAGCCUCGCGGCCUAUCAGCUAGUUGGUGAGGUAAUGGCUCACCAAGGCGACGACGGGUAGCUGGU
rnacentral:rRNA from 1 species